rnacentral:rRNA from 1 species
UACGUAGGUGGCAAGCGUUGUCCGGAUUUACUGGGCGUAAAGGGCGUGCAGGCGGUCUGUUAAGUUCAGGGUGAAAGCUCCCGGCUCAACUGGGAGAGGUCCUUGGAUACUGGCAGACUUGAGGGAGGUAGAGGAGAGUGGAAUUCCUGGUGUAGCGGUGAAAUGCGCAGAUAUCAGGAAGAACACCCGUGGCGAAGGCGGCUCUCUGGGACGGUACUGACGCUGAGACGCGAAAGCGUGGGGAGCAAACAGG